rfam:Pseudoxanthomonas sp. Root65 contig_3, whole genome shotgun sequence.
GCGGGAAUAGCUCAGUUGGUAGAGCACGACCUUGCCAAGGUCGGGGUCGAGGGUUCGAGUCCCUUUUCCCGCU